UGGGGAAUCUUGCGCAAUGGGGGAAACCCUGACGCAGCGACGCCGCGUGCGGGAUGAAGGCCUUCGGGUUGUAAACCGCUUUCAGCAGGGACGAGGCCUUAUGUUGACGGUACCUGCAGAAGAAGCUUCGGCUAAAUACGUGCCAGCAGCCGCGGUAAUACGUAUGUUGCGAGCGUUAUCCGGAAUUAUUGGGCUUAAAGGGCAUCUAGGCGGUAAGACAAGUUGAAGGUGAAAACCUGUGGCUCAACCAUAGGCUUGCCUACAAAACUGUUGAACUAGAGUACUGGAAAGGUGGGUGGAACUACACGAGUAGAGGUGAAAUUCGUAGAUAUGUGUAGGAAUGCCGAUGAUGAAGAUAACUCACUGGACAGAAACUGACGCUGAAGUGCGAAAGCUAGGGGAGCAAACAGG
rnacentral:rRNA from 1 species